rnacentral:rRNA from 1 species
UGACUUGUGGCUGGGGGUGAAAGGCCAAUCAAACCGGGAGAUAGCUGGUUCUCCCCGAAAGCUAUUUAGGUAGCGCCUCGUGAAUUCAUCUCCGGGGGUAGAGCACUGUUUCGGCAAGGGGGUCAUCACGACUUACCAACCCGAUGCAAACUGCGAAUACCGGAGAAUGUUAUCACGGGAGACACACGGCGGGUGCUAACGUCCGUCGUGAAGAGGGAAACAACCCAGACCGCCAGCUAAGGUCCCAAAGUCAUG